AUCCUGUUUGUAGUAAAUUCAAUAUCAAGUUUUAAGAUGCAACAUCUCUACCUACUCUUUUCGAAGGAUCAUCAUUACUUUUUCAGUGUUCUUAUGUACCUUUAAUAGUGUUUAGAAUAAAAGGAAACAAAACUGAAAAAUAAUUCUACAUAAUUGAUGCUCAAGGUGAUCAAAUUUUUUCUUUAUUCACAAUUUUUGUUUUGAAAGUCUGGUUGAUUACGCAUAUUGUUUGAUUAGAUUAUAGUUUUAAAUUUGAUGGAAUGCUUGCCUUUAUGCACAGAGACUAUGCUUUGCAUCGGAAGUGAAUGGCAUCGUUAUCCUUCUUCAUUUUUUAUGCCUUCGUACAUUAAGGAAGUUCAAUGGAUAAAUGAAGGAUUUAGGGGUCUUCUCCCAUAUCCUUUUAAUUCAAGUUUGGGAGGCAUGACAACUACCCCACCUUAUUUCAAUGACAAGAACAAGGGUUCUCAUGGCCAAUAUGUGUCUAUUAAUGGGAUUUUCAAUGUCUUGCUUACCACGCUAAUCCUACUUCUGAUUGGAUUUGCAGCUUCAAGAUAUCAAACUCUACACCUUCUAUAUGGAGCUAGAUUUACAAAAGCCAUAUCCAACUCGAGGAAGUGACUUAUUGACAUGGGAGAGAACUUAUUGGUAACCAAGGACUUUGUGAAGAUAGCAAAUUUUGGCCUUGCUCGUGAAGUUCAUUCGAAGCCACCAUUCACAGAAUAGGUUUCAACACGCUGUUUACAAAUCUCAAGUACUCCAGAGUUGAAAUUGAUGAAGUGCGGUUC